UUACGGCUAUAUCACGUUGAAACACCGGUUCUCGUAAGAUCACCAAAGUUAAGCAACGUUAAGCCUGGUCAGUACUUAAAUGGGUGACCGCUUGGGAAUACCAGGUGCCAU